AAGGAGUUAGUUUAAAAAAACAGUUACUUGUCAAGUAAAAUUUACAUAAAAAUGUACACCUUG
rnacentral:tRNA from 1 species